UCUCCGGAACGAAUAUCUUCAAAAAAUCGCGUCAACAUAAUCAAAAGAAGACCAAAAGAACGGCUGAUUGUAACAGUGUGGACAAGGAUGGAAAUAAGCUGUGUUCAAAGGAACACAUUUGCAUGGAUACUUAUGCAAAAACGCGUCUUGCUAAAGUUUAUGGCGAGAAAUUUCGGGAAUUUCCACGGGAUCUGAAGGCGCAUGGCGAUCAAAAUAAGAAUAAUCCUCAUUAUAAUAAAUUGGA